CGUAUGGUGCAAGCGUUAUCCGGAUUUACUGGGUGUAAAGGGAGCGCAGGCGGUGCGGCAAGUCUGAUGUGAAAGCCCGGGGCUCAACCCCGGUACUGCAUUGGAAACUGUCGUACUAGAGUGUCGGAGGGGUAAGUGGAAUUCCUAGUGUAGCGGUGAAAUGCGUAGAUAUUAGGAGGAACACCAGUGGCGAAGGCGGCUUACUGGACGAUAACUGACGCUGAGGCUCGAAAGCGUGGGGGAGCAAACAGGAUU
rnacentral:rRNA from 1 species